CCUACGGCGUGCUGCAGUGGGGAAUAUUGGACAAUGGGCGAAAGCCUGAUCCAGCCAUGCCGCGUGUGUGAAGAAGGCCUUCGGGUUGUAAAGCACUUUCAGUGGGGAAGAAAGCCUUGGGGCUAAUACCCUCGAGGAAGGACAUCACCCACAGAAGAAGCACCGGCUAACUCCGUGCCAGCAGCCGCGGUAAUACGGAGGGUGCGAGCGUUAAUCGGAAUUACUGGGCGUAAAGCGCGCGUAGGCGGUCUGAUAAGCCGGUUGUGAAAGCCCCGGGCUCAACCUGGGAACGGCAUCCGGAACUGUCAGGCUAGAGUGCAGGAGAGGAAGGUAGAAUUCCCGGUGUAGCGGUGAAAUGCGUAGAGAUCGGGAGGAAUACCAGUGGCGAAGGCGGCCUUCUGGACUGACACUGACGCUGAGGUGCGAAAGCGUGGGUAGCAAACAGGAUUAGAUACCCCAGUAGUC
rnacentral:rRNA from 1 species